GAAAGACAGCCCUAGUGGUGGGGUACUAGAGAUGGAGGAACAAGUGAACUCUGUGGUUUUCCUUUUAGGGGAAUGUCUGUACAUUCUGACAGUCUGAUUGGCCUUCUGUUUCUCAUGCUUGCUAACUCACUAGUGCUUUCAAAGAGAGCCUGAAUUUAAUAGGUAUGGUCUAACACAGUUUGAAUAACCUUUGUGAAAUAUGAGAGAAAAUAUCUAAAGCAAAAAAUUAAGCUGCCACCUAAGGGACAUAUGAAAUAUUACAUCUUCUGUGAUGCCUCUUUUCAUCAAUAUUGAGAGACUGCUAAUGUGUAUCAUUCAGAUUGCUAAUCUCCCAGCAUGUUCUACCAGCAUUUCAGAUAAUAUAGAAUAUAGUUCUAGUAAAAGCUUGGUGUUUAUUUUUUCAAUUAGAAUCACAGGAAAAGACAUAUUUUGUUUGAUAAUAGGUUAUUUCAUUUGGGGGACUAAUAAUUCUGAUAUAUAUUUUAGGAUUUCUUUAACACCACUCUAGGUAAUGUUUGCAUAUGUGUCUCACUGGGAAAUGAAAGACUAUCAAGGUGUUCAUUUGAUAGUUAGAACCAAGAGUGAAACAGUCUUUGCUUUAUUAAAAAAAAGUCUAAUGUUCUAUUUUGCUUUUGAUAUUUUGCCUUUGAUUAACAUCCUGGAAACCAACACAUUGAAUUUCCAGUAUUGAACAUGGUGACCAAAAUAAUUUUCUUUUUAUAUGUAAAUCAAGUCAUAAGAACCAGUGGUUAUAAUGCUUUCCUGGGGGCCAUCCUUUGCUGCUACACCCUUAACUUCCAUCACAGGAAACAUGACAGCUGCCCUACAGGCAGCUCUAAAGAACCCCCCUAUCAACACCAAGAGUCAGGCAGUGAAGGACCGGGCAGGCAGCAUUGUCUUGAAGGUGCUCAUCUCUUUUAAAGCUAACGAUAUAGAAAAGGCAGUUCAAUCUCUGGACAAGAAUGGUGUGGAUCUCCUAAUGAAGUACAUUUAUAAAGGAUUUGAGAGCCCCUCUGACAAUAGCAGUGCUAUGUUACUGCAAUGGCAUGAAAAGGCACUUGCUGCUGGAGGAGUAGGGUCCAUUGUUCGUGUCUUGACUGCAAGAAAAACUGUGUAGUCUGGCAGGAAGUGGAUUAUCUGCCUCGGGAGUGGGAAUUGCUGGUACAAAGACCAAAACAACCAAAUGCCACCGCUGCCCUGUGGGUAGCAUCUGUUUCUCUCAGCUUUGCCUUCUUGCUUUUUCAUAUCUGUAAAGAAAAAAAUUACAUAUCAGUUGUCCUUUAAUGAAAAUUGGGAUAAUAUAGAAGAAAUUGUGUUAAAAUAGAAGUGUUUCAUCCUUUCAAAACCAUUUCAGUGAUGUUUAUACCAAUCUGUAUAUAGUAUAAUUUACAUUCAAGUUUAAUUGUGCAACUUUUAACCCCUAUUGGCUGGUUUUUUUGUUUUGUUUUGUUUUGUUUUGUAUUAUUUUUAACUAAUACUGAGAGAUUUGGUCAGAAUUUGAGGCCAGUUUCCUAGCUCAUUGCUAGUCAGGAAAUGAUAUUUAUAAAAAAUAUGAGAGACUGGCAGCUAUUAACAUUGCAAAACUGGACCAUGUUUCCCUUAUUUAAGCAAAAUAUGUUUUUGGAAUAAGUGGUGGGUGAAUACCACUACCAAGUUAUAGCUUUGUUUUUGCUUGCCUCCUGAUUAUCUGUACUGUGGGUUUAAGUAUGCUACUUUCUCUCAGCAUCCAAUAAUCAUGGCCUCUCAAUUUAUUUGUGGUCACCCAGGGUUCAGAGCAAGAAGUCUUGCUCUAUACAAAUGUAUCCAUAAAAUAUCAGAGCUUGUUGGGCAUGAACAUCAAACUUUUGUUCCAAUAAUAUGGCUCUGUUUAGAAAAAACUGCAAAUCAGAAAGAAUGAUUUGCAGAAAGAAAGAAAAACUAUGGUGUAAUUUAAACUCUGGGCAGCCUCUGAAUGAAAUGCUACUUUCUUUAGAAAUAUAAUAGCUGCCUUAGACAUUAUGAGGUAUACAACUAGUAUUUAAGAUACCAUUUAAUAUGCCCCAUAAAUGUCUUCAGUGUUCUUCAGGGUAAUUGGGAUCUCAAAAGGUUUGGUUCAGAUCCAAACAAAUACACAUUCUGUGUUUUAGCUCAGUGUUUUUUAAAAAAAGAAACUGCCACACAGCAAAAAAUUGUUUACUUUGUUGGACAAACCAAAUCAGUUCUCAAAAAAUGACCGGUGCUUAUAAAAAGUUAUAAAUAUCGAGUAGCUCUAAAACAAACCACCUGACCAAGAGGGAAGUCAGCUUGUGCUUAGUAUUUACAUUGGACACCAGUUUUGUAAUCAUUGACUUAUGUGCAAACUGGUACAGAAAUUCUAUAAACUCUUUGCUGUUUUUGAUACCUGCUUUUUGUUUCAUUUUGUUUUGUUUUGUAAAAAUGAUAAAACUUCAGAAAAUAAAAUGUCAGUGUUGAAUAAUUU
rnacentral:sRNA from 1 species